rnacentral:tRNA from 1 species
GCGGGAGUAGUUCAGUGGUAGAAUGUCUCCCUUCCAAGGAGAAGGUCGGCGGUCCGAAUCCGCUCUCCCGCU